AUUGAACGCUGGCGGCAGGCCUAACACAUGCAAGUCGAGCGGGGUUUUCGGACCUAGCGGCGGACGGGUGAGUAAUGCGUAGGAAGCUGCCCGAUAGAGGGGGAUACCAGUUGGAAACGACUGUUAAUACCGCAUAAUGUCUACGGACCAAAGUGUGGGACCUUCGGGCCACAUGCUAUCGGAUGCGCCUACGUGGGAUUAGCUGGUUGGUGAGGUAAUGGCUCACCAAGGCGACGAUCUCUAGCUGGUUUGAGAGGGUGAUCAGCCACACUGGAACUGAGACACGGUCCAGACUCCUACGGGAGGCAGCAGUGGGGAAUAUUGGACAAUGGGCGCAAGCCUGAUCCAGCCAUGCCGCGUGUGUGAAGAAGGCCUUCGGGUUGUAAAGCACUUUCAGCGAGGAGGAAGGGGUGUGUGUUAAUAGUACACACCUUUGACGUUACUCGCAGAAGAAGCACCGGCUAACUCUGUGCCAGCCGCCGCAGUAACAC
rnacentral:rRNA from 1 species